rnacentral:rRNA from 1 species
AUGCCGACAAGACCCUGUCGCUGCCGUGUUUGCCGGGAUGCGUGUUUGCCACUACAAGGGUGGCAUCAUCCAAAAAUCCCCAUAGUACACCUCCAGUCUCAGCCAGAAAGCCCUGUUGAUCCAACUCAGGAGUUACAAAGUAGCUGGAGAACAAUCAAACAGCUGCAAAGCCUUGAUCCAUUCAAGUUAUCGGAGAAUAGCCGAUUUUUGUGCAGAGCCAUCCUGAAAGAGAUAGACUGCACCAAAGAUUGGUGUUAUCGUGGAUGCUUUCACUGCAGGAAGACGGUCAGCAGGGACGGAAGUGAAUUCUGGUGCAGCCAAUGCGAUCCGGUUAACAAGAAGCGCAAGAGGCCGGUUUUAUGGUACAAGCUAAAUGCAGUGGUGGAAGAUGACACUGGAACCAUGAACUUGGUGAUCUUUGCCGAGGAGGCGCAGCAACUGAUCGGUGUCACGGCAGAAGAACUUUUCAAAGAGAUCACCGGUGAUGGCGGGUGCACCGUGCCAGCUGCAUUCUCAUAUCUUCGCGGCUCGACCCACACCUUCCAAGUUGCCAUGGACGACUGGAGCUCAAGCUUCGUUGUGAAGUGGAUCCUGAACGACAAUGAGUUGACACUAGUGCAGCACGGUGGGUCAGUUCAGUCGACAGUGUCUAGUUGCAACUCACAACUUAUGGAGGAGAAGAUGUUGAUCCUCAAGCCAGAAACCGAACUGAAGACGGAAGAUGAGGCAGGUGCAGAAUGA